rnacentral:rRNA from 1 species
AUUGAACGCUGGCGGCAGGCCUAACACAUGCAAGUCGAGCGAGCGGCGGACGGGGGAGUAAUGUAUGGGGACUGCCCGUUAGAGGGGGAUCACUACUGGAUACGGUAGCUAAUACCGCAUACUAUCCGAUAACCCAUAUGGGAGUAGCUAGUAGGUGAGGUAAUGGCUCACCUAGGCGACGAUCCCUAGCUGGUCUGAGAGGUUGAUCAGCCACACUGUGACUGAGACACGGCCCAGACUCCUACGGAGGCAGCAGUGGGGAAUAUUGCACAAUGGGAGCAAGCCUGAUGCAGCCAUGCCGCGUGUAUGAAGAAGGCCCUAGGGUUGUAAAGUACUUUCAGUCGGGAGGCGUUACCGACAGAAGAAGCACCGGCUAACUCCGUGCCAGCAGCCGCGGUAAUAC